rnacentral:rRNA from 1 species
CAUGUCCUUUUGAUUAUAAUUUAAGGUCUGAUCUGCUCAAUGAUUAAUUAAAUUGCCGCAGUAUUUUGACUGUGCGAAGGUAGCAUAAUAAUUAGCUUCUUAAUUAGAAGCUUGAAUGAAUGAUUGGACGAGAAAAUUACUGUCUCUUUAGAAUUGUUUAUUGAAUUUUAUUUUUAAGUUAAAAAGCUUAAAUUUUUAUAAAAGACGAGAAGACCCUAUAGAGUUUAAUAUUCAAUUUUUACUAAAAUUUAGUAAUCAUUUUUAGAAUUGGGUAUUUAGUUGGGGUGACUUAAAGAUUAAUUAAAUUCUUUAAAUAUUUUAUUGUUGAUAAAUAAUUUUUAAAUCUAGUUUUUUAAAUUUAAAAUUAAUUACCUUAGGGAUAACAGCGUAAUUUUUCUUUAAAGUUCUUAUUGAAAGAAGAUUUUGCGACCUCGAUGUUGGAUUAAAAUUAAUUUUUGGUGCAGUAACUUAAAAAUUAGGUCUGUUCGACCUUUAAAAUU